rnacentral:RNase_P_RNA from 1 species
ACAGAGGAUCAGGCGUUCGCUGGACAGAAACCUGUCUGGAGGAAAGUCCGGGCUCCGCAGGACACGAUGGUGGGUAACGCCCACCGUCCGUAAGGAUCGGGCAAGUGCAACAGAAAGUAAACCGCCGAUCGGAAGGUCGCCUGUCGAUCUUCAGGAGGUAAGGGUGAAACGGUGCGGUAAGAGCGCACCAGCAGGUCGGGUGACCGGCCUGGCUCGGUAAACCCCACUGGGAGCAAGACCAAGCAGGAGGGAGUCGGGAGAAAUCCCGGCACGGGGCGGUCCGUCCCGUCCACCUCCGGGUAGGUUGCUGGAGGGUGC